UGUGAUGUACAGAGACAAGGAAAUGUAUCUCCAAGCCCUCUGACCAAAUAAAGAACUCAAUUUCACCAUAUCAGCAAAAACACAGACUUUUUAUCAUGAAGGCUCGGCUGUGCGGCUCUGUGCGUAAAAGACAAAGCACACUGUCAGCUAAUGCCCCUUUAACCCUCUCACUAAUAGGAAUGCCCCCUGAAGAUCAGGAAAAUACAUCCUAACCUUCUACCUGAGACGCAGACACUUUCUCCAGGUAGCAAUGCGCCUUUGCAUGCCACCACCACAUCCAUGGACACUAAUGUAAGUGGAAGAUCACUGUGGUGAGACGCCUCUUCUUCCUGUUUUAUUUUGGUUUAACUUCCCAUUUUCCUUGUGUUCCUGGUCUGGUUUGACUGUUCUUUCAGUGCACUUUCCCUUUACCCGGUCGCUGAGGCUAAGUGAGACUCCACACCUGCACUGCAUCUGCAAUCAAGGCCCUUUAAGAAGCCAGCAACCCUCAGUCUCAGUGCCUGAGUAUUGUUUUCACUCCUCAGUGGUACAGACGCUUCUCCCGGCCUUCUCCUCGGCUAAGUACUAGUAAUGUAUGCCUUCUCACUUCCAUCUCCUCUGUUUUCUCCAGUGUCUCCAGCCCACACAACAGCCAGCCAGCCAACCGGACUUUUUCUUGUGCCUUUUCCCUUAAGUUGGACAUUAAAAUUACAUCUUUAAUUUACUAUCUGUCUCUGUGUCUGCUUCUGAGUCCACAAAAGACACCACACGCCACAGAAUACUCGGGCCAGGAAAAUGGACCCAGCAGACCCAGACAGAGACCAACAAGCCAUCCAAAAGCUCAGACUUCGCCUCGGUCAACAUGAGGACAUGCUCCAGGGCCUCAACCAAGCCUUUCAAGGCCUCACCGUUCAAGUAACGCAACUGGCGGAUCAACUCCUCUCCCGGCUCCCCCCGAAGCAGUCUGGGUCUUCCCCCUCUGUGAGUAUGGCCCCCACUUCACCCUCUCCUGUCUUCAAAGAGCCUUAUGUCCCUCAUCCCGAGCCGUAUGCUGGGGAGAUUGGGGGCUGCAGAGGUUUCCUGCUCCACUGUGCCCUUGUCUUUGAUCAGCAGCCUAUUAGUUACCCCUCGGAUAAAUCCAAAAUAGCCUACAAUGUCAAUCUCUCGGUCUGUGGCGGAAUUCUCUAUUGAGUUCUGCACAGAGUGGAAGUGGGCCGAGAGUGGGUUGGGGGAACUAGAAUUAAAGGGUGCAUUUUCUCGUGGUCUGUCCAAACAGUUAAAGGACGAAUUAGCUGCUCGUGAUGAUCCAUCCUCACUUGAGGAGUUAAUUUCAUUAGCCAUACAUGUGGAUAAUCGCCUCAGGGAGAGACGUAGGGAGAAGAAACUAAACACUCCUCCCCAUAGUUUAGAUUCCUCAUCCUCCACUUUCAGCGGGUCUCCUCUGCAGCCCUCAGCUCCUCUGGCUCUGGCGCCCUCACCCGUAAGGUCACCGCUCUCGAUGGCAGAGUUAUAGCCACCAUAACCCACUGCACUACUCCUCUCACUCUCAUCCUUUCGGGAAACCAUCAUGAGGAUAUCCAGUUGUUCCUGCUUCCCUCUUGGACUCCCGUGGCUGCAGAUCCAUAAUCCCCAAAUCAACUGGUCCACAGCUUCAAUCUCCGCCUGGAGUCCUCACUGCCACUCUCAUUGCCUCCGCUCCGCCCCUGUGCUCAAACACCCAGAUCCCUCUCUCCAAUUCGUGGUGGAGGUCGACGCCUCGGACUCUGGAGUGGGGGUCGUCCUCUCACAGGGGGAUCCCGAGACCCAGAUGCUCCAUCCUUGUGCCUACUUUUCCCGGAAAUUCUCACCCACCAAACGAAAAUAUGAUGUUGAAGACCGUGAGUUGCUGGUUGUUGUGUGGGCACUCCAAGAAUAGAGACACUGGCUGGAAGAAGCACAACACCCAUUCCUCAUCUGGACUGACCUCAAGAACCUUCAGUACCUCCGUUCCGCUUGACGCCUCAACUCCAGACAAGCCCGCUGGUCCCUCUUCCUCCACAGAUUCACCUUUACCCUCUCCUAUCGUCCCGACUCCCGACUCCCGCAACCUCAAACCUGAUGCCCUAUCCCGAAUCUACUCCUCUGCUACCUUGGACCCCAGAGAACUGGACACCAUCCUCCCUGCCUCCUGUAUCAUCGCCUCUUGGGAGAUCGACACCGUAGUGGACAAGGCCCUACGGAAGCACCCGGACCCUGGAACUGGCCCUCCUGAUAGGAAGUACGUCCCUGAGGUUGUACAUUCUCAGGUCCUACAGUGGGGGCACUCCUCUUAACUCACCUGUCAUCCCGGAUUUCAACGCACCCUCCAAUUCCUUUAGCAGCAGUUCUGGUGGCCGGGGAUGGUCCGGGACAUACAGGUGUUUGUGGCUGCCUGCUCCGUCUGAGGCAAAGCCUCCCACCAACCCCCAGCUGGCUUGCUGCAUCCUCUGCUUGUGCCCUCACACCCUUGGUCUCAUAUAGCUCUAGAUUUCGUCACUGGUCUCCCCCCUUCUGAAGGUAACACAGUUCUACUCACCAUCAUAGACAGGAUUUCCAAGUUCGUGCAUUCUGUCCCGCUACCCAAGCUCCCCUCUGCUCUAGAAACUGCUAAUCUCAUAGUGUCUCAUGUGUUCCAACUUCAUGGUAUCCCCCUUGACAUAGUGUCGGAUUGUGGUCCCCAGUUCUCCUCCCAGGUCUGGAAAGCUUUCUGCCAGGCGGUGGGCGCGGCAGCUAGCCUCUACUCAGGCUACCAACCGCAGACCAAUGGCCAGACGGAGUGGGCCAAUCAAAACCUCGAGUCGACUUCGCGGUGUGUUGUGGCCCAUCAUCCAGCAUCCUGGAGUACACACCUCCCACGGAUCUAGUACGCCCAUAACUCCCUCACCUCCUCGGCCACAGGUAUGUCUCCCUUCAUGUUCUGUUAAAGGUACCAGCCCCCCCGUUUACCGAACAGGAGCAACCGGGUGCUGUCCUGUCAGUGAGGGAGCACAUUGGGCGCCAACGGGAGGUGUGGGGAUCCGCCGAGGCCGCACUCACCCGGACGGCCGAGCGCAACAAACGCCUGGCUGACGUCCAUCGCUCCCCUGCACCAGACUAUCGUCCAGGUCAGAUGGUCUGGUUAUCAUCCCGUGACCUUCCCCUGCAGACCGAGUCCCGCAAGCUGUCUCCCCGCUUCAUUGGUCCCUUCCCAAUCCAGGAGAUUAUUAGCCCCUCGGCGGUACGACUCAAACUUCCCUCAGCUCUCAAAAUUCACCCCGCGUUUCAUGUCUCCCUGAUCAAGCCUGUCACCUCGUGCACCCUGAGCCCUCUUUCCGCAACCCUCCACCGCCCUGGAUGAUUGACGACCACCCUGCCUUCACUGUGAGACAAAUCCUAGACAUGCGGCCUCAAGGACAAGGCUUCCAUACCUCGUGGAUUGGGAGGGUUACGGUCCGGAGGAGCGGUCCUGGAUCUCCUGCUCCCUCAUCCUGGACCAUCAACUCCUCAACAACUUUUACGCCGCUCACCCCAACAAACCCGGCAGAACACCAAGGGGCGUUCGUUGAGAGGGGGGUACUGUAGUGAGAUGCCUCUUCUUCCUGUUUUAUUUUGGUUUAACUUCCCAUUUUCCUUGUGUUCCUGGUCUGGCUUGACUGUUGUUUCAGUGCACUUUCCCGUCCCCUGGUCGCUGAGGCUGAGUGGGACUCCACACCUGCACUGCAUCUGCAAUCAAGGCCCUUUUAAGAAGCCAGCAGCCCUCAGUCUCAGUGCCUGAGUAUUGUCUUCACUCCUCAGUGGUACAGACGCUUCUCCCGGCCUUCUCCUCGGCGAAGUGCUAGUAAUUUUUGCUCCAUGUAAUUCCUUGUAUGCCUUCUCACUUCCAUCUCCUCUGUUUUCUCCACAGUGUCUCCAGCCCACACAACAGCCAGCCAGCCAACCGGACUUUUUCUUGUGCCUUUUCCCUUAAGUUGGACAUUAGAACUACAUCUUUAAUUUACAAUCUGUCUCCGUGUCUGCUUCUGGGUCCACAAAAGACACCACACGCCACA
rnacentral:lncRNA from 1 species